AGGAGCCGGAUGAGAAGAAACUUUCAUGUCCGGUUUUGGAUUAGAGAUGGGAUCAAAAUACUAUUAACCAUUGACUAUAAC
rnacentral:ncRNA from 1 species